rnacentral:rRNA from 1 species
UGGGGAAUAUUGCACAAUGGGCGCAAGCCUGAUGCAUCCAUGCCGCGUGUGUUAAGAAGGCCUUCGGGUUGUAAAGCACUUUCAGCGGGGAGGAAGGCGUUAAGGUUAAUAACCUUGGCUAUUGACGUUACCCGCAGAAGAAGCACCGGCUAACUCCGUGCCAGCAGCCGCGGUAAUACGGAGGGUGCAAGCGUUAAUCGGAAUUACUGGGCGUAAAGCGCACGCAGGCGGUCUGUCAAGUCGGAUGUGAAAUCACAGGGAUAAACCUGGGAACUGAAUUGGAAACUGGCAGGCUAGAGUAUUGUAGAGGGGGGUAGAAUUCCAGGUGUAGCGGUGAAAUGCGUAGAGAUCUGGAGGAAUACCGGUGGCGAAGGCGGCCCCCUGGACAAAGACUGACGAUCAGGUGCGAAAGAGUGGGGAGCAAACAGG